rnacentral:rRNA from 1 species
ACUGAACGCUUUCUUCCUGCCUAACACAUGCAAGUCGAACGAGACCUUCGGGUCUAGUGGCGCACGGGUGCGUAACGCGUGGGAACCUGCCCUUAGGUUCGGAAUAACUCCCCGAAAGGGGUGCUAAUACCGGAUAAUGUCUUCGGACCAAAGAUUUAUCGCCUUUGGAUGGGCCCGCGUUGGAUUAGCUAGUUGGAAGGGUAAAAGCCUACCAAGGCGACGAUCCAUAGCUGGUCUGAGAGAAUGGUCAGCCACACUGGGACUGAGACACGGCCCAGACUCCUACGGGAGGCAGCAGUGGGGAAUAUUGGACAAUGGGCGAAAGCAUGAUCCAGCAAUGCCGCGUGAGUGAUGAAGGCCUGAGGGUUGUAAAGCUCUUUUACCCGGGAUGAUAAUGACAUUACCGGGAGAAUAAGCUCCGGCUAACUCCGUG